AAAACUUGAGACUUGGGGCAUCAACAGAAACGCAUUAUUGAAGGCGUUGUCAUCGUCAUACAGACAAUUAGAUGGUCUGUGCCUGGUACUGUGUCAAAGGGACGCAUUAAAAAGUUACAAACAUGUGAUAUAACUGCAGUGAUAAUUUUUAUUCAGUAUUUUUAAAAUGUUCUCACGAGCAAAGAAUAAUGAAGCUUUUUUGCGUUUCUUGCCAGCUGGAAUUAUGGAAUUAUGGAGUUUUUGAAACUUAAACAUGCGUGGAUCCAAAAAGUGUUAACAGAGGAGGCAAAUUAAUACUUUUGUUGUUUUUUGGGGUCCAGGGACUUCUUUAGGUACUUUACUAUGUUUAUUCAAAAAGUUUGAAUCUUCAAUUAAGGGAGGGGGCGGGGUCCAUACACGUGUGCACUCAUUAUGGACAGUAAAGAAGAUUACAUGGGUACCGAAUUAAGAACGUUUUUCUCUAGUGCAUAAUUAUUUCAAUAAAUGUACAUGAAUCUUC
rnacentral:misc_RNA from 1 species